rnacentral:rRNA from 1 species
UUUACGAGGGUCAGGACACUGUGAGGAUUGACAGAUUGAAAGCUCUUUCUUGAUUCAGUGGGUGGUGGUGCAUGGCCGUUCUUAGUUGGUGGAGUGAUUUGUCUGGUUAAUUCCGUUAACGAACGAGACCUUAACCUGCUAAAUAGUCACGCGAACCGGUCCGCAAGGGCUCAAAGUUCGCGGCUCGACUUCUUAGAGGGACUAUUCGCACCCGCCAGCGAAUGGAAGUUUGAGGCAAUAACAGGUCUGUGAUGCCCUUAGAUGUUCUCGGCGCACGCGCGUUACACUGACGGAGUCAACGAGCGUUUUUCUUGCCCGAUAGGGUUGGGUAACCUCCUGAACUCCGUCGUGAUGGGGAUAGAUCAUUGCAAUUAUUGAUCUUGAACGAGGAAUUCCUAGGAUGCUCGAGUCAUCAACUCGCGCUGAUAAGUACCCUGCGACUUUUACGACGACUCCCGAU